rnacentral:rRNA from 1 species
GGACUACUCGGGUUUCUAAUCCUGUUUGCUCCCCACGCUUUCGCACCUCAGCGUCCAGUAUGAGCCAGUAAGCCGCCUUCGCCACUGGUGUUCUUCCGAAUAUCUACGAAUUUCACCUCUACACUCGGAAUUCCACUUACCUCUCUCACCUGCUAGCUCUGCAGUCUCAAAGGCAAUUCCGGGGUUGAGCCCCGGGCUUUCACCUCUGACUUGCAAAGCCGCCUACGUGCGCUUUACGCCCAGUAAUUCCGAACAACGCUAGCCCCCUCCGUAUUACCGCGGCUGCUGGCAC